rnacentral:rRNA from 1 species
AACGAUGAAGUCUAGCUUGCUAGACGGAUUAGUGGCGAACGGGUGAGUAAUGCUUAGGAAUCUGCCUAUUAGUGGGGGAUAACGUAGGGAAACUUACGCUAAUACCGCAUACGACCUACGGGUGAAAGGGGGCGUUUAGCUCUCGCUAAUAGAUGAGCCUAAGUCGGAUUAGCUAGUUGGUGGGGUAAAGGCCUACCAAGGCGACGAUCUGUAGCUGGUCUGAGAGGAUGAUCAGCCACACUGGGACUGAGACACGGCCCAGACUCCUACGGGAGGCAGCAGUGGGGAAUAUUGGACAAUGGGCGAAAGCCUGAUCCAGCCAUGCCGCGUGUGUGAAGAAGGCCUUUUGGUUGUAAAGCACUUUAAGUGGGGAGGAAAAGCUUGUGGUUAAUACCCAUAAGCCCUGACGUUACCCACAGAAUAAGCACCGGC